rnacentral:lncRNA from 1 species
UGUGGGAGAGUGGAAAAAAAAUGUCAAGGUGUCAGAAGACUUUGGUUCGGCUUGUGAUUCACCAACAGGCUACAAAGAGCCAUGGUUUUAUCAUUCCUGAAUUUCAUCCUCAUCUGAGGAACAUGCUACGGUCCACUGGAAAAACUGAUUUGAGUGUCAGGCACUUUUUCUCCUCAUUGAUUCAGCACAAGUCCAUGGGUCACAAGAGCUUUGAAAGACACCUCUGAUGGGCUUCAGGAUUAUUAUUGGAAUGGAAGACUUAACUUAGAUUAUGGUUUCAGAAACAACCUGGCCCAGGCAUGAGUAUCUGCUGAAAGGUUUUUGAGUAAAUAUUGUCAAAAUGUCUGCUACCCAAAGUGGUCUACAGAUUCAGUGAAAUCCCUAUCAAGAUAGCAAUAAGAGGCUGUUCUAUAAAGACUUUGGCACCAUAUUCCACAUUUAUCUGUAGCUUGACAAAGAACUACAGAAACUAUGAGUAAACAGCCCAGAUUAUUUUCCCAGACAGGACAGGAUCAUCCUAGACCUUAGGAUCUUAUGUAAGUCUUA